AGGUAAACGGAAGUUCAAAUAUUCGAAAAGGCUGGUUGCUAUGGAGUGACGUCAUAAACCGGAUAAGUUUCCAUCAUCGCCUUGACAGCCUUUUUCGAUAAUUGCUCGCAGUAAUCUGAGUUGUUGCUUGAAUUUGUACAAUCUCUGUUCCUGCUGGGUACAAUGAAGCCUUUUGUUUAUUAGGGGCUGGAUCGGCCUAUUGACAUUUGGAGAUUGGAUUUCAUAUUAAUAUGCGUAAGCAAAAGCGGGAAUGUUUAGUUUCCCGCGGUCGAGUGCAGUUAUGGAUCCCUUGAAACUUCGAAGGGUUGAAUUGCUUCAUUCUCCUCCAGAUGAGUCAAGGGAAUGGUUUAUCUUAAAUUUCAAGAAAUGUGGCAUAAGAGUCAGCAAGUUUUUUGAAGUAGCCUGUUGGUGGCACAUUUUCCAAGCGUUUUGUACGGUCCAGCUUUAAAAAAUGGCGGAAGCUUGGAUGACCGAUAUGUUCAGAACAACAAAGUGGCCAUCGCCUCUCUAUUUGGAGUUGUUUCUACCAUCUUCCGGCAGAAAUUCGAAGAAGGAGAAGUGGUGAGAUAUCUUUGGUUGAUCGAUAAAAUAAAUUCUUGAUCCUGGAUCAAGAAAAGCUUGGCAAACGUUACUUAGCAUUUUCAAGCUAAGACGAACCGGGUUACUCUUGAUUACAAAACACUGAUAAUGCUGCUCAAGCAAAGAGCUGGUGAUGCCAAAAAAUAUAUCAAUGAACUUUGCAAGCAAGGAUUGGA